GGCCGCAUGGCCCAAUGGCAAGGCGUCUGACUACGAUACAGAAACACGAGAGAUCGUGACCUGUUGGUAUCAGGAGAUUGCAGGUUCGAGCCCUGCUGUGGUCA
rfam:Verticillium albo-atrum VaMs.102 supercont1.3 genomic scaffold, whole genome shotgun sequence.